GUGAACGCUGGCGGUAGGCCUAACACAUGCAAGUCGAACGGCAGCACAGUAUGUGCUUGCUCUUACGGGUGGCGAGGUGCUGACGAGCGAGGAAUUCAUCGGAAUCUACUGUGUCGUGGGGUAUAUCGUAGGGAAACUUACGCUAAUACCGCAUACUAUCGUCGGGUGAAAGCAGGGGAUCUUCGGAUCUGUUUGUUUGUGAUGAGCUGAUGUCGGAUUAGCUAGUUGGCGGGGUAAAGGCCCACCAAGGCGACGAUCCGUAGCUGGUCUGAGAGGAUGAUCAGCCACACUGGAACUGAGACACGGUCCAGACUCCUACGGGAGCACGCAGUGGGCACACUUGGACAAUGGGCGCAAGCCUGAUCCAGCCAUACCGCGUGGGAGAAGAAGGAAUUCGGGUUGUAAAGCCCUUUUGUUGGGAAAGACAAAAAACAGGUUAAUACCCCGCUGUUCUGACGGUACCCAAAGAAUAAGCACCGGCUAACUUCGUG
rnacentral:rRNA from 1 species